rnacentral:lncRNA from 1 species
UCAGAUUCUUCAUCGAAAGCAGUCUGUCGGCGAGACGCUUCAUUGUUUCUGGAGGAGCGGACCGAGUGACGUCAUCUCUGAGAGGAGGCGAGGAGGAGGAGGAGGAGGAGGAGGAGGGAGGGUACCAGGGAGGAGAGGCUGCUGCCUGCGAGCAUCGAUGACAUCAACGAGCUCAAGAAUCUCUGGAGGUCUUUUGGAAAUGGAGGCUCUGUCUGAGAACGGAAUAUGAUGCUCGAGUCUCUCCUCAAAGGCACCCUCGCGCAGCAUGAAUGUGAGGCCGGUGGCUCUUGGAAACGAGCAUCAGCAGUUCCUGGCUGUAAAUCUCAUGGGUUUCUCAUAAUGAUCUCAGCUGUGGCUAUUU